GGCGUGGUGGCGGAGUGGUCUAUCGCGUAAGACUCGAAUCUCUGUAUUCUCGAUAUCUUAUCUCUUCGGAGGCGUCAGUUCAAAUCUGGCCCACGUCG